GCUGUGCGACGCGCCGGGCCUUAGCCCGUUUGUGCCAUCCGGGUCUCUCGUUCGAGCGAUUCAGUCUGUGGCGAAUCGUCUAGGCGGCCGGUACUGUGGAAAGCGGCAAGUGGAGGCGCCGCUCCAGCGGCCAGGACUGUGGACUAUGGCGGCUAGUGAUACAGAACGAGAUGGACUAGCCCCAGAAAAGACAUCCCCAGAUAGAGAGAAGAAAAAAGAGCAGUCGGAUGUAUCUGUUUCUCCUAGAGCCUCAAAACAUCAUUAUUCAAGAUCACGAUCAAGGUCAAGAGAAAGAAAGCGAAAGUCAGAUAAUGAAGGAAGAAAACACAGGAGCCGGAGCAGAAGCAAAGAGCGUGCUAAUGCGCGAAGAGACUGAACUGAAGACGCUGCAGACUCAGAUAGCAAAAUAAUAAGCCUACUUCAUGAUAAGGUAACUAUUAGCAUUCAAACUCCUAUUUCCCUUAAGUAUAUCAUAUUAAAUCAGUUAAGGGUUUAAUGGUUGGUUUUUGUUUUUGUUUUUUUUAAAUAAUAAUAGUAAUGUUAUGUAUGGAAAACUGGUUUGAAAUAAACUCAAACUUUUGGAAGCUUAACCACUUAAAACUUUUCCAGUUUGCCACUAUAUGGCAAAAUCAAGGAAAUAUUUUUUUAUAAGCUCAUUAUAGAGAACUGGCAUUGAAACUAAAAUUUAGCUGUGUCUCCAUGUCUCUUAUUUUUAUGCAAAAUAAUAAAUUACAUACUAUGAUCCUUGUCAGAUGUAUCAUUAUGCAUGUUCCAAAAUAUUUGACCAAGUUUUUUAAGAAAAGUUAAUUUUAAGUGGACAGAAAUAUGUUAAGGUCUGUUUUGGGAACUAUGAGAUAAAUGUUGUGUUGUGGAAAACGGUGGCCUGAGCAUCAGAAGAACAUGGGAUCUGGGUUCAACUCUCCUCUAAUAUGUAGCUUUGUGGCUUCAGAUCUUAAUUUAGUCAUAUAUAAAGUAAAGGGAGUAAGAGGAUCUGAAUUUCUUUUCAGCUUUAAAAUUGAGAUUCUUAAAUGUCCAAGAUUUUAAGCUUUAGCUAUGAGAUGGAUUCAACAAAUCUUAAUGUGGGGAAAUCUAAUGUUAAGCACUUCCUGAUUCAGUAUGUGAGUGUAGGAUGGAGACUUGAUUAUACAGUUAAUUUUAGCUCAGUCUCUGAAUUGCAUUUGUUGUGAAAGCGAAAGCCUUGGUUUUUAUGGUCCUUCAGAAUAUGGGGAAAGUAUGUGUUAUACAAUGGUACAGGGAUUGAUUAUGUUAUAUGUAGUUUAUUUCAUAAAAAUAAAGAUGUGGUUGCCAUUUUCUACCCUAGGUACAUGAAAUGUAAUAGAACUCCAAGCCUGUUGGGAUAUUGCAAGAUGAAAAGUGAUUGCUUCACAGUUUAGACAUUGGGAGAAAAAUCAAGAGCCGUCUUGUAGAAAGGAUGUGGCAGUAUAGUUAUAAAAAAGGACACUUCAACUCUGUAAAGUAAUCAAAAUUGUAGAAAGUAUUAAUACUUAGAUUUACUUAGCUACCUAAUUGGAAAUGCAUUUUCUGGUGCAUUUCUUCGUGUCCUUAUCUCUGUUAUUGUUAACUUUUUAACUCAUUACUGUGUACUUUGGAUUUAGAAGUUGAUGUAUAUACAUGGUCUGUUUCUAAAAGGUUUGUGGAAAAAUUGAAACAAUUUUGAUACAUAUUACUUCCCUUAUUCUUUUAGAUUAAAAAAAUCAGGGAUUUCUCUUUCUGAAGUAAUGGUUUUUCAAUAUUAUUUCAGCAUUGAAAGUCGUUGUUUUAAUUGUACUGAAAAUAUUUUGGGGUGGAGACUGCAUUUUGGGGGUUUAUACAGGAAAAAAUAAUUAGUGAUAUAUAUACAUCUGCAACAUUUGGGUGAUCUGAAUGAAACUAGAUCUUUUUUUAAUUUGCGACACACUCCUAAGGUUACUAAUGUUGCAUCACAACAUUUUUGCUACUGAUACCCAUACUAACUCUCUUUGUUGCACUAUUUUCCUGAAAGAACCAACUUCUUCUUAAAACAGGCAAGAAGACAUGAAUCCAAAGAUAAAUCCUCUAAGAAACAUAAGUCUGAGGAACAUAAUGACAAAGAACAUUCUUCUGAUAAAGGAAGAGAGCGGCUAAAUUCAUCUGAAAAUGGUGAGGACAGACACAAACGAAAGGAAAGAAAGUCAUCGAGAGGCAGAAGUCAUUCAAGGUCUAGGUCUCGUGAAAGGCGUCAUCGUAGUAGAAGCAGAGAGCGGAAGAAGUCAAGGUCCAGGAGUAGGGAGCGGAAGAAAUCAAGAUCCAGAAGCAGAGAGAGGAAGAAAUCACGAUCCAGAAGCAGGGAGAGAAAACGUCGUAUCCGAUCUCGUUCCCGCUCAAGGUCGAGACACAGGCAUAGAAGUAGAAGCAGGAGUAGGACGAGGAGUAGAAGUCGAGAUAGAAAGAAGAGAAUUGAAAAACCAAGAAGAUUUAGCAGAAGUUUGAGCCGAACUCCUAGUCCACCUCCCUUCAGAGGCAGAAACACAGCAAUGGAUGCACAAGAAGCUUUAGCUAGGAGUUAUCACAAUGUAACCUGAUGGGCUGCUGCCCUGCGAACCCAGCCUGGCAGAAACUCCAGCUGAACAGCAGCAGCAGCAAAGAUUGGAAAGGGCAAAGAAAUUACAAGAACAGCGAGAAAAGGAAAUGGUUGAAAAACAAAAACAACAAGAAAUGGCUGCAGCAGCUGCAGCUACGGGAGGUUCUGUUCUCAAUGUUGCUGCCCUGUUGGCUUCAGGAACACAAGUAACUCCUCAAAUAGCUAUGGCAGCUCAAAUGGCAGCCUUGCAGGCUAAAGCCUUGGCAGAGACCGGAAUAGCUGUACCUAGCUAUUACAACCCAGCAGCUGUGAAUCCGAUGAAAUUUGCUGAACAAGAGAAGAAAAGGAAAAUGCUUUGGCAAGGCAAGAAAGAAGGGGACAAAUCCCAGUCUGCUGAAAUAUGGGAGAAAUUGAAUUUUGGAAACAAGGACCAAAAUGUCAAAUUUAGGAAAUUAAUGGGUAUUAAGAGUGAAGAUGAAGCUGGAUGUAGCUCUGUUGAUGAAGAAAGUUACAAGACAUUGAAACAGCAGGAAGAAGUAUUUAGAAAUCUGGAUGCUCAGUAUGAAAUGGCAAGAUCACAAACUCACACACAAAGAGGAAUGGGAUUGGGUUUCACAUCAUCAAUGCGAGGAAUGGAUGCAGUUUGAAGAAAAUCACACUUAAUAUUGGGACUUUAUAGACUUCUGGUUCUGAUGUCAGGUCCUUGUUCACCAAACAGCUAGCAUUCUAGCUUGCAUGGGUGUUGCAUUGACUUUAAUUUAUUGAAAAAUACAAUUUUUUGUAAAUAUCAGAUCAGUGAUACUGGUGUUAGUGUUGUAAUCAGGUUAAACCCACUUCCAUUAAACUUGACAGGAUUAUAGAAGGACAAUAUUUUUUAGUUCAUGAAUUCUACUUUUCAAAUAUAUGAACGCUGCAGGUUGGGAUAAAAAUCUCAUACAUGGAUUUUUGGUGUCCACUGUCUUGUGUACUUUUGUACUUAACCUUGUACAGUUAUUUUCAUCUCUUGAAACAUGAAAGAAAUGUUAAUGUAGAUGUUCUUUAGAAGAUCUGGCCAUUUGGUACAUAAUCCAGCACAAAUAAGCUGGGUGGUGAUGAUAAUAAAAAUGGUUUUCUCAAAACUGGUGUUAAUUUAAGUUACCUGGAAUUCUUAUUUGAAUUUGUUUUAUGAUUUUUGUAGCAUUUUGCAAUUGCUAUUAGAAGACACUGGCUUAGAAGUUCCUUUUUUUUUUUUUUUUUUAAGAACAAUUAACUAUGAUACAGGCAAUACCAUGGUGAACAAAAAUGUAAAAGGAAGUCGGGAGAAGUGAACAAACUUAUUGAGUAAUACUGUUUUCCUACUAUAAGGGACAGAAUUGGUGUACAGUAUUUGUUAAAUAUUCCAUGUUAUUCAGGAAAUAGAUUAAUACAUUAAAGGGAUGUAAGCACUUUUAUUUUAAUAAAGUGCCUUAUAACAA